ACUUCGGACCUCAGAGAGUCAGCAGGAAAGGAGAGCGGUUUCCGCCAGACAAACGGAUACGGUCUGACUACUGGCCUGUUUCAGAUGCAAAUGUGAAAAGCAUCCCAGGUUACAGAGCAAACUCUCAGGAAAGAAAUUCACGAGAAAGGACAAGGACCUAUUAUUAAUGUUCUGGUUAAUCUCUUUUCUAAGCUGGAUGGGCUCAAGACAGAGGCCCUUGUAGUGAUGAGGGAUCAUUGAGGAAGACGGACCAGAAAGAUCCUAUGAGCCAGAGGUAAUGGAUGACUACAGCAAAACAGUGUUUUCUGGACAAUGCAGAGCAGUUGCAGAUGUGAACUAAGAAUGUGAACUCAAAGUGGAUGCACCGGCAUUCAGAAGACAGCACAAGAUCAAGCCAGAGAAAAAUGCACCAGAGAAUUUCUCAUGGUAUUCUGGUUGCUUCUUGCCACUGCCAUGGACUUGUGGGGAUUUGGUGGAGCCUUGUGGUUUCUUCUGGAUUGAGUCACUGCUACUGAUUCCUGCUUGCUAUUUUGGACUGGACUGCUGAUAUCCUAACAACAGAGAUUGGAAUGACCCUAAAGAACUACUUCUAAACAGGUCCACAUCCCCAGUUUCCUAUUAAUCUUUCUCUUCCUCUUCCUCUGGUAGGUGGGCUAAAUGGAAAGUUGAUGCAUUUAAGAACCUGUAUUAAAGUAGGUUUUGAAAAAAUCUAAGCCUACACUAGAUAGACCCAGAAAAAAAUAACUCAGGGAGAAAGGGGUUUAUUUGGCUCACUGUUCCAGGUCAUGGUUCAUCAUUGCAGGGAAGUCAGGAAGAAAAGACUUGAGACAGCUGCUAACAUCACAUCUACAUCUAAGAUCAGAAAACAAUAUGUAUACACUAGUGAUAAUCUCUCUCUCUCUCUCUCUCUCUCUCUCUCUCUCUCUCUGUUAUAUAAUCCAGGAUUCACUGCCUAGAGAAUGGUGACCCAAGGGAGAUGGCCCUCCCCCUCAUCAAACAACCCAUAGGCAUGCUCACAGGCCAGCCCACUCUAGAUAAUUCCUCAUUGAGGCUUCUGCCCAGGUAAUUCUAGAAUCUUUCAAGUUGUCAAUUAAAAAUGAAGACUCACACCAGCUGAGUAUGGGUGGCCUCAACUUCCUGCCUCUACACCUUUCCUCCCUUGAGGGAGUAGCCUGUCAAGCUGCAGUCAGGUGUUUGGCCACGGCAAUAAGAAAAGUAGCUAAUGUGUUUAUAAUUUGUAUGGUUCCUAAAAGGAGUGUAUGAGAAUUUAUGAGAAAAUGUAUAGAUAUAAUAGACGACGGAUCUAGUAAUGUAAGUCUUAAUUGUAAAUUUAAAGAAACCACAUAUACUACACUUUAAAUAUCAGCAAAAUCUUAUUGUUGAGAAAGCUUUUGUAAGAUAUAUGAAAUUAGAUCAUACUUCAUAGUUUUCCAUGUUCACUAGAUUAUAGCAUAAUUUUGCCUCAGCAAUAUGGGAGGAGUCUAGUGGAUAGUGCUUAUGUUGCAUGCUACUUUUUAUCUGGACAUGGUAAGAUUACAUCUUGGGUUAUCCCUAGUAGCCAUGGCAACCAGAGCAGUACCAUGGCAGCUGGGUCUAUGGUAAUAGUGACAGACAAUUGUCUCCCUAGAGAGGGGAGAAAGGAAGAAUUAGAAGGCCCUCACUUGAGAGCUUUCCCUCAGAUGCAAGUGAUCUUGAGAGAUGCUAGAGUAUAUGGACAUUGAAAGGUUAACUGAAGUCUGGACUCUGAGACCAUCAUCCACGGUGGAGAGUGGGUUGGUGAGACUGCAGCUGGUAGGGCAUCAUUCAUACUCCUCUAAGUAAUCCCUCACCCGUGCUCUGUAACAAGCCCAAUAAGCUCAUCAGUCUCACCUUGACCUGUCAUGGAUGACGCUAUGGAUUCUGUUGUGGAUGUCUAUCUAGAGUAAUUACACAUUUGGCUUUCCCAGGAGCAGUUAACACAACCCUACUCUUUUAGGAUUAACACAGAAGUCACUGAACCUGCCCAAUGAUCUUCCAGUCUUUAAAGUUUAAGGAAGGUUGCAGAUACAACCCCCUAUAGUGACUUGUUCUUUCAUUCCAGACACCACUGUGGAGAUAUCCAUUGCUGUUGUCAAAGUCAGAACUCCUGAUAUGCAUACAGCCAGGCCUUAGCUGAGACCCUAGGCAUUUACACUUCUAACCAGCACUUGCUGCUCAAUGUGAUCUUGUCUCUCAGUCCCAGAGUCUUGGAACUGCAAUAGCUCUUGGUCAAGCCAUCCUCUCUUUGCACUCAAGGUCAGAGCAUAGAUGCUCAGCCACUCUCUGUUCCAUGUGCAUUGAUGUCUUCCCCCAAAGCUUGGUGCCAUUCACCCAGAAGCUUAAAGUACACAGUAACUGCCAACUCUCCCAAAGGCAGGAACUUCAAAACUCAAACUUUAAAAGACCUUUUGUGCUUUCUAUAAGGAAAUAAAGAGAGGGAGGUACGCCAUUUCCUAGUGUAUCUCCAACAACCAUGCCUGCAACAUAUCACAACACAGAGUAGCAGUUUUUACACAAGUAGCACCUGAAUAAAAUAAAAUCCAAACAGUGAAGAAAGAGGGCUAUUUAGCACUAGCUCCAAGUGGCCUCAAGCUCCACCACUGCUCUUGGAACAAUUCUAACCCAUCUAACCAUGGCCUAAAUCAGCUCUCAUAAAAUGGCCUCAUGCUUUGCAGGCUGCGUGUGGGAUCAGGUUGUUUUUUGUUUGGUUUGUUUGCUUGUUUGAUGUUUUUAAUUAUUCGCUUUGUAAAUGAAGUUUUAAAAUUCUUCUUUUUUGGGGUGGGGUGAGGUAGGGCUUGACUUGUUGUUCUAGACUUUUCCUUUUCUCUUCUAUUAGUGUCAAACCCAAGGGUGUAUGCUCAGUUGGCAAGAAGCUGUUAUUGACCCCUAGUGUCAAGUGGCUACAGCCCAAAGGGUUCAUGGGAAAAGCUCUGAAAGAGUUCUUGAAGGGGUGGGUGUUUGCGUACUUGGAGGAGGAGGGAGUUCAGAAUGGCCAGAAUAAUAAAUAGCCCGUAUCUAGAAAGUGACUAAGAAAUGAAGAAAGAUUGAAACCUAAAAACCCAGAGAUAAGAGCCAAUGAUAUGUCUCAGUGGGUGAGACCCAAAUUCAAUCCAGAGAACUCACGUAGUGGAAGAGGAGAACCAAGGACUUAGAGACUAGCCCAGCCUGGAAAUGGAAUUUUAAAUAUAACAGCUAAGUGGUGACAACCAGGAUUCAAAUGUGCCAAGAUCCUCAAGUAGAGCUGGCUCAGAGCACUGGGGCUGAGGAGACUUCAAUCCAAGCAGUGUGCAUCACUGGCUAACAUCAACUACGCUGGCCUGUUUCUGCCAGUCUUCACAUGGGAUGGUGUUCUCACAUUACGAUAGAAUAUAUUGUGGAUGUUGGCUAUUCCAUCACAGUAGCUAUAAUAUAAGACAGUAGGUAGACCUCUCCUAACAGAUAAUAUGAAGAAAUCCAAUAUUAUGAAGUCUGUCUAUGAGUAAGACUAUUCAUAUACAGAUG
ensembl:lincRNA